AUAUUUUUUAUGCGUUCUCUAGCCGCAAUCCAUUACUCCAAAGUUUCCCGCAUAAGGACCAAAAUUUGAAUUGCGGAUAAAUUCGUUUUGUUGGCUAGCCUGUGUUUGGUGCUUGAGUUGUAUAAGUAUUUCAAAAUCCCUUCUAGCCAAUUCCAUGCAUAUCCACAAUCUCGAAACGAACGCAAUUACAUUCAAGGUUUCUAUGGUUGACUUGCCAACACUAAACUAUCACAAAUAUGCUAAUUAUAUUGGUUGAGGUUUGCAAGACUGAACAAGUUCAGAAGUGAAAUCCGUCAAUUGGUUGAUUCAUGGGUUGGCGAUGGUGAAGAUGAUGUUUCUGAUCAGGGAGACGCUCAUUGAUAAUUUGUUCAUCAAGGGAGUGAACGUGGCUUUUGUGGCGGCUUCAACUUUUUGUUUUUCUUCACGUAGAGCAUCGCAAAGAAAAUUGCGGUAAAAGUCCUCAAACUCCUUGAAGUCAAUGUACCCAUCGCCGUUUCAUCAGCAUCCCCGAUACUUUUCAACAACUCGAAGGUGGGUUUAAUACCGCAUGCACAAACCCUGUCCUUCAUAUCCUUCAUCUAGAUUUUUCAGUCGCCUUCCAUGUAAUUAAAUUAUAGGUGAGUAUUAUAAUUAUGAGAGAAAAAGUUAUACGUUAAUAAUGUAAUUUUUUUUACAUAAUUAUUCAAUAAUAACUUUUAUGAUAAAUU